CCUAAGAGCCACUUGUUGCAUGGUAAUGCAGACGGAUAGGAUCGGCUUUUUUAUUCGCAGUGUUCCGUGAUUCUAUCGCACACACGAACUUCCAUUUUCCAAACUAGAUCUGGAUCUACAAGGACAAGUUCGAACCACUGUAAACACACCGGUGUGUCUGGCAAGUGGGGAAACUUCGAGUGAGAGAUCUCGCCCCGUCUCGAAAAGUGACUACACACAUUGUCAGCAGGAAACGAAUUCCAAUGAUCCGAGUCACCCUCGGCCGACGUUAGGAACAACUGUGAGAAAAUGCAUUCAGAAACCACGGGGAACACUAGAAUUUCCGGAUCGUUCAACAGGUAGACUCGACUUAUUCGCUGCAGAAAAACGAAUGAAACCCGAUAAACAAUAAUAGACAACAAACUUGUCCGUCGAGAUGCUUCCACGUCGAUUUAUAUAUAAAAAGAAACGAACUGUACCAAGAAAAUUUAACAUUCCCAGUUCAUUUGUAAAAUUCACAAAUCAAUGUUAAUUCUGCGACAAGCGUGUUCGAGUGAAGAAAAGCUAUCGAGCAUCCCAUCUCCGGAUCGAGUCGCGAAGAAAAGAAAGCAUUGAAGUCUUCCUUCGAACGGAAGAGAAAUCACGAUAACGCUUGACACGAAAAAAUGUUAUGAUUUUAAGAAAGGAGAGAAAUAUCUCACGGUGCUGUGCGCAAGUACAAUCUUGUCCAACAAAUGGAGCCCUUAAAAUCCCAGGUCCCGGAGUGUUUAGAAUAGAAAAUCCAUGGUCCACGUAUCGGAAUUCCAAACGGCACACCAGCACAACGUUUCCACACAUGCACUUAAAAUGCACACUGAAAAACUUCACCGAAUUCCUCGAUCUCUCGGCGCGGCGCACGCGCUCGAGACGAGCGGCUCGAAACGCACGGUAAAAAUUCACGGCAAUGCAAAAUUACACGCAUCGGGAAAUCGAGAGAUUUUCUCUCGUCCCGAGGAUCGGUUCGUAGCUUCUAGCGUGGCUUGGCUACGGCAAGCGGCAGGUCGACGCAAAUCGGAUGAGAAACGGGCUUGGCGGCUGCUGGGAAGAGUACGGAGCUGGCUUGAGUGAACGUGUCGCGAAGAGUGGGGGGAGUGGUGGGGACCAGAGACCUGCGCAAGGGGACCGGGGAAUAAGUAGGGAGGCUACGCUGCAUGCGCGUGCCUGCGCACCGGUUUUCGGCUUCGAUAGUGAUGGGCCCGAUCUCGAGCCGCGAAGUCUAUUCGGUUGCAGUUUAUUGGUUCCGAAUACUGUUUCGAAUAAGAAAAAAAGUCGUAUUUUACGUACGUAUCCAUGUUACUUGUAUUUGAUAAAAUACCUUACAUUGUAUCAAGGAGACAUAUUAUGAACAACCGCGUUAUGAACCGUUUGGCACAUACAAAAUAGAAUUUUAGUCGAUACUGUAUAUUCUAUUUUAUUGUACAUUUCAACAGAAUAUUAUACUUAUUACUUUUUUUCUGUUAAAUAUUCAGUGAAGAUGAAUAAAUUAACGCAUAAUUAUUUAGGUCCUUUUUGGAAUAAAAAAUUUCAAAAAUAAA